UACAGAGGGUGCAAGCGUUAAUCGGAAUUACUGGGCGUAAAGCGUGCGUAGACGGUUGCGUAAGUCAGAUGUGAAAGCCCCGGGCUUAACCCCUGGCUUGCAGUGGAUACGGACAGACUAGAGGUAGGUAGGGGAGAAUGGAAUUCCCGGUGUAGCGGUGAAAUGCGCAGAUAUCGGGAGGAACACCGGUGGCGAAGGCGGUUCUCUGGGCCUUACCUGACGCUGAGGAGCGAAAGCGUGGGGAGCGAACAGG
rnacentral:rRNA from 1 species